rnacentral:lncRNA from 1 species
GUCGGAAGUGUGGGACUGAUGACCUCCCACAACUGGAGCAGCCGGGAACAGCUCUGACCACAGUGGUUCCGGGGAGAAGCCUUUCCAGGACCCAUGUGUAGGCACAGCUGUUUUCCCUGAUCAGGAUACUUGCAGCACUCAACAGAGGAAAGAAAUUCCUAAGGGAACACUGCUCAGAAAGUACUGCAGCAUGUCUUCAAAUGCCUGAGGAUCAAGCUGGAAAACUAGAAGCAACAGAAAACACAAUAAGCCCCAGGCGUGAGUCACUGGCGAGCGCGACG